GAUGAACGCUGGCGGCGUGCCUAAUACAUGCAAGUCGAGCGAACAGACGCGGAUCUUGCUCCUCUGACGUUAGCGGCGGACGUGUGAGUAACACGUGGAUAACCUACCUAUCAGACUGGUAUCACUUCGGGAAACCGGAGCUAAUACCGGAUAAUAUAUUGAUCCGCAUGGUUCAAUAGUGAAAGACGGUUUUGCUGUCACUUAUAGAUGCAUCCGCGCCUCUUUAGCUAGUUGGUAAGGUAACGGCUUACCAAGGCGACGAUGCGUAGCCGACCUGAGAGGGUGAUAGGCGACACUGGAACUGGGACACGGUCCAGACGCCUAAGGGAGGCAGCAGUAGGGAAUCGUCCGCAAUGGGCGAAAGCCUGACGGAGCAACGCCGCGUGAGUGAUGAAGGUCUUCGGAUCGUAAAAAUCUGUUAUGAGGGAAGAACAGAUGUGGAAGUAACUAUGCACGGCGUGACGGUACCGAAUCAGAAAGCAACGGCUAACUACGUG
rnacentral:rRNA from 1 species